UUAAGACUGUACCCUGAGCCAGGUAGGGGGGAGGGGGUUAGCACCUGGGCCCGGGAAGCUGGAAAAAGGAAUCAGCCGGCUGGAGGAGGGGCAGUUCAGUUUUGGUUUUGGGCUGGAUGAUGGAAAUUCAGGGGAUCCUAUGCUGGGAUCCAAGUGCCCUGAACCCCGAGAAGGACUCGAUUGGGGGGUCCUGGUUGGGCCUCCAGGCUCUGCUGUAACCUACAUUCCUGCUGUCCAAUAAACCUUCUGUUUUACUGGCUGGCUGAGAGUCACUGUGAGUACCAGGAAGAGGGGUGCAAGACCGGAGUCCCUCACACUCCGUGACAGUUAUGAAUAUUGACUAUGUAUCUGUAUUUCAA